GUUUUUGCAAAAGAAGAAGAAAAAAUGAAAAAGCAAGAAGUGACAUUUGCUUCAGCCAUCAUUGGAAGGCAGUAAAAUUUAUAAUCAACCUACGGAAAACACAAAUUUGUCGCUAAAAUGAUAGAUCCUCUACAUUUAAACUAAUCGCAAACUGAUUGUUGUGCUUUUGACUAUUGUGUGCAAGCAAUGGAUAAAAAUAAAUCUCCAAUACGCCGCGCAAAACGUCAAUCUAAAGUUGUUGAGGAAAAUUUUUGGGACUGCAGUGUCUGCACCUACAGAAACACAGCCGAAGCGUUCAAGUGCUUAAUGUGCGACGUACGAAAAGUUUACUCGGUUCCAGGCACGUCAACCCGCAAGCCUCGCCUUAAUUCGGCGCUGGUGGCACAACAGGCGGCAACACAGGCGUUUCCUGGUGCAUCUGGAGCUCCAGCACAAAACUCAAAAUCUCCAGGAGGGAAAUCAUCACGCAACAAAAACAAGCGAUCAAAAUAUCCAGCAAGGUUGAAAAAUAUUGAUCGAUCCAGCGGACAAACUCGAGAGGUGACAGUCAACUCAGUUACGGUAGUUAUUACUGAAUACAAGCCUAAAUCAACUGUUAGUCGACAUGAUUCGAGUGAAAGCUUUAGUGAGAGUAAUGAUUCAAGAAGUUAGAUUAAUUUUAAAAGUGGAAUAGUAUUUCCACAAAUGCUUAACUUAUUACAGAGAAUGUCAAAGUUUUAACUAUAUAAGUAUGAAAAAAAUAGAAACAUGUGAACGUUUUUUGCAAAGAUAUUAAUAUUGGCAUCUGUCUGCUCAAAGUUAUUAUUUUCUCGUAUAAUUUAUUCCAUAAUACAUUGUACGAUUGUGCUCCAUUGUAAAUUUUUCUUUGUCAGCCCCACAACUAGCACUCUUCCAUUGAUGGUUGUAACUUGUAUUGCAAACUUAACUGAAUAAAUUUUGUGGUGUAACAGUUUCCAGCCAAUGAUAUUAAAAAAAGCUACAUGGAAUCACAAACUGUACGUAGGUUAAGAAAACUGUACUGAUUUUUAAGUGUAAAUUUCCUUAGAAUGUGAAAUGAUUUUUAGAACCAUGAAUUGAAGUUCAUUUAACUUACCUUAUUCUUGUUUCUAUUAUAAAUGUUGACCACAGUUGAUUUUAUCAUUUUAUUGAACAUUGUACUACAAUGACUUAUAAGCUUAAGAUGAUUGAUAAAUCAAUUGCAAAAAGAGUUAAUACUGCCAAGAACUUCAGAGAAGCAUCUCGAAUGUAUAGAAUGAAUUACCAGUCCAAACGUGAAUUUAUAAACCCAAUCCUAGAUUUAACAUGAUACAUCUCCCGAACAAUAGACUUCCAGUUUGCGAUUACAUAAUUAUUUGAGGAACAUUUUCGGAAAACGGUAACUGUCGAAAGCAGUACGAUGCAUUUAUCACAUACAAUCUGAACAAUAUGCGAGCGGUAAUCCAUCGAAUUAGAAUUAUAGAACUCUUAUUUUAGGUGAACGAUUUUCUCUAUAAAGUCUGAAUUAUCCGUCAUAAGUGGAACAUGAGAAUAAAUGAAAUUCAAUGGGUUGAUAAUGGAAAAUGAACAAAGUCUAGCCAUGGAAUCAAAAUAAACGUGAAUAUUAAAACUCA